ACAUGCAGAGAGGGUCACUUGUAGCUUUGUUUCCUUCAGAUUCGGGCAAGUUUUCACAAUACAUGGGGUUCAGUAGCAGGGGCAUGUUUUUUGUGUGUUCAUUUUUUAGUACUUUUGGGCUGGGUAAUGACCAGCAGUAGGCAGGAUUGCACAUAGGGACAGGCAAUGUGAUUAGAUAAGCUUGUUAGUCACAGGCAGAGAGUUCACUUUUUAGCAUUGUUUCCUUUGAAAUUAGGCAAGUUUUUACAAUACUUGGGUUCCACCAG
rnacentral:lncRNA from 1 species